GCUACGUUUGGAAGGGAUAACCGCUGAAAGCAUCUAAGCGGGAAGCCUGCUCCAAGAUUAGCAUUCCUUGCACUUUGUGUGUGAGCCCCCAUGUAGAACACGUGGUUGAUAGGCUGGAUGUGGAAGCCCUGUAAGGGGUGGAGCUGACCAGUACUAAUGGGCGAUUGUGA
rnacentral:rRNA from 1 species